rnacentral:rRNA from 1 species
AACGAACGCUGGCGGCAUGCCUAACACAUGCAAGUCGAACGAGACGUUCGGGUCUAGUUGCGCUCGUGGGCUUAACGCGUGGGAACUUGCCCUUAGGUUCGGAAUAACUCCCCGAAAGGUGUGCUAAUACCGGAUAGUGUCUUCGGACCAAAGAUGUAUCGCCGUUGGAUGGGCGCUCGUUGGAUUCGCCAGUUGGUAGUGUAAAAGCCUCCCAAGGAGACGAUCCUUAGCUGGUCUGAGAGGAUGAUCAGCCACGAUGGGAAUGCGACACGGACCAGAAUGGUACGCAAGGGAGGAGUAGAGAACACUAGGCGAUGAGGCAAGGCCUGACAAAGCCACGCGGCGGAAGAGAUGAAGGGCUUAGGAUUGCAAAGCCGCUUUACACGGGACGAUAAUGACAGUAACGGGAGAAUAAGCACCGGCUAACUACGUG